CUCGUCAGACAGGGGAGCCGCGCCGACGCGGCUGAGAGUGCGGACGAUCCGCAGACCCUCCGAACCUGAUCCGGUUAGCACCGGCGAAGGGAGUCAACCGAUGCCGACG
rnacentral:ncRNA from 1 species